GACAGAGGGUGCAAACGUUGUUCGGAAUUACUGGGCGUAAAGCGCGUGUAGGCUGCUUGGAAAGUCGGAUGUGAAAGCCCUGGGCUUAACCCAGGAAGUGCAUUCGAAACUUCAAAGCUCGAGUCCUGGAGAGGGUGGCGGAAUUCUCGGUGUAGAGGUGAAAUUCGUAGAUAUCGAGAGGAACACCGGUGGCGAAGGCGGCUACCUGGACAGUGACUGACGCUGAGACGCGAAAGCGUGGGGAGCAAACAGG
rnacentral:rRNA from 1 species